rnacentral:lncRNA from 1 species
AUUUAUGAUGGUAUGAAAAAUGGCAACUUGAUUCUAAAAUAUAAUUUUGUGUGUCUUCAUCCUACUAAACUCUGUUGAAAAUGUCAAAUUCAAUAUUAAGCUGUCAUCUACUGUUUUUAUACAUAUUUUUUCUAUCUUGUCUUGAUUUACCUAUAAAGAUUCUGUCAUCUGUCAAUUAUUAUUUUGUGCCAUUUGUCUGGUUUUCAUCAUUCUAAGUAACCAUAUGAUAUUUUGACACCUUCUUAUGUAAAGUCCUUCCCUAUUCUUAAUUUAAAGUCCAGUAACAAAAUUAAUAUGAGUCCCAUUUUUAUGGCUAGGAAUUAACUUUUUAAACCAGAAGCAAAACUUUGGUUUGUAUCCUACAACAAUUCAGCUAUGAACCUGAAUAUUCAUAAGAGCAGAAAAAAAAUCCAGUUGAUUUGAUUAUUAGAAUAUUGUAUAGACAUGCUAUCAUAGACAUGAAUCAUAACAUUCUGCACUUUUAGAAUUAUAUAUCUUACCAUACAUGUAUUAAUGUAAGAGUGAAAACCUUAAGAUUGUUUAACUAUGUUGUUUUUUUGUUAGCAAUGCAUUUAAUGGAUUGACACAUGAUGAAGAAACUAAAUGGGUUUUCUUCUGUUAUCAUGUUUCUGUGUCACUGAUCUAUACCUCACAUAUUUUUUGUAAUGGGAUUUAUAAUUUGAUGAAUCUCUGUUAAUCCUGUUAAUCAGGAUAAUCAUGAUUGUAUAUUUUGACUCAAGAAAAACCGUUGUUCAAUUCAUUAAAAGUGUAUUUAUAUUUUC